GUACUUGCUUUGGCAGCACAUAUGCAUUAGAAUGAUACAGAGAAGAUUAGCAUGGCCCCUGUGCAAGGCUGACCUGCAAAUUGGUGAGGCAUUCCAUAUUUAA